UGUGAUAAGCAGGAGGAAGGUUGGGAUGACGUCAAGUCCUCAUGGCCCUUACGUGUUGGGCUACACACGUGCUACAAUGGCAGUGACAAUGAGAUGCUAAACAGCGAUGUUAAGCUAAACUCAAAAACCUGCCUCAGUUCGGAUUGCACUCUGCAACUCGAGUGCAUGAAGCUGGAAUCGCUAGUAAUCGCUCAUCAGCGCGGAGCGGUGAAUACGUUCCCGGGUCUUGUACACACCGCCCGUCACACCAUGGAAGUUGGUUUUACCUUAAGGCAUGUCACUAACCUUCGGGAAGUGCGUGACCACGGUAUGAUCGGCGACUGGGGUGAAGUCGUAACAAGGUA
rnacentral:rRNA from 1 species